GAUGAACGCUGGCGGCGUGCCUAAUACAUGCAAGUCGAGCGAACAGACGAGGAGCUUGCUCCUCUGACGUUAGCGGCGGACGGGUGAGUAACACGUGGAUAACCUACCUAUAAGACUGGGAUAACUUCGGGAAACCGGAGCUAAUACCGGAUAAUAUAUUGAACCGCAUGGUUCAAUAGUGAAAGACGGUUUUGCUGUCACUUAUAGAUGGAUCCGCGCCGCAUUAGCUAGUUGGUAAGGUAAAGGCUUACCAAGGCAACGAUGCGUAGCCGACGUGAGAGGGUGAUCGGCCACACUGGAACUGAGACACGGUCCAGACUCCUACGGGAGGCAGCAGUAGGGAAUCUUCCGCAAUGGGCGAAAGCCUGACGGAGCAACGCCGCGUGAGUGAUGAAGGUCUUCGGAUCGUAAAACUCUGUUAUUAGGGAAGAACAAAUGUGUAAGUAACUAUGCACGUCUUGACGGUACCUAAUCAGAAAGCCACGGCUAACUACGUG
rnacentral:rRNA from 1 species